rnacentral:tRNA from 2 species
CGCGGGGUGGAGCAGUCUGGUAGCUCGCAAGGCUCAUAACCUUGAGGUCGUGGGUUCAAAUCCCACCCCCGCAACCA